rnacentral:rRNA from 1 species
UACGGAGGAUGCAAGCGUUAUCCGGAAUGAUUGGGCGUAAAGUGUCCGCAGGUGGCUGUGUAAGUCUGCUGUUAAAGAGUCUAGCUCAACUAGAUAAAAGCAGUGGAAACUACACGGCUAGAGUACGUUCGGGGCAGAGGGAAUUCCUGGUGUAGCGGUGAAAUGCGUAGAGAUCAGGAAGAACACCGGUGGCGAAGGCGCUCUGCUGGACCUUAACUGACACUGAGGGACGAAAGCUAGGGGAGCGAAUGGG